CUGAGAUCAAGACCUGAGCUGAAAUCAAGAGUUGGAUGCCUAACCAACCAAGCCACCCAGGUGUUAAUCCCAAAAGCACUCCUUAAUCUCCAACUCAGAGUCUGCUUCCCAGGGAACCCAAACUAUGACAAUGAAUCUCCAUGAUCAGAAAUGUUUGGAUCCAUAUACUCUCUAUCAACUCUUUGCCUCGAUGAUGUUUUAUCUGUAGUCCACCUCCACCUGUAAUUGGGAGCAAUUACUCAUGCCAGAGUGGUGACUCCUUUCCUUGGCACAAAGAAUCCAGAAGUGAUUGAGUGGCACAUGCGGUGUACAAAGUCUCUUACUGUGUCCCUGGUGGAAGGGUUUCCCUUCCAGGAACAGACUUCUAGAUCCCAGAGAGUUAGUUGCUGCUACUGGAAGCAAGAUUCUCCAAGAGGAUCACUGGCAGUAAUCAUGCUAGAAGAUUUCAACGUUCCACUUUCUACCAGUGAUGAUGUUUUCAUUGCCAAUUGCCCGGUUUGUAAUGCAGCUCCAAAAUCCCAUUUUAGAGUUUGCUUCCCGGGACCAGUUCUGUUAGCAACUGUCAUAGGCCACGAUCCCCAGGAAAGAGACUCUGGAGUAGAGAUUUCCAUGCAGAAGGUCUGCUGCUGAGUGCUCUUGGGAACAAUACCCGUACAGGAGCGAAGAAAGCCAAGACUGAACCGAAGGAGUUGAACUACUAGGCAGGUGCAGCAAAGCUUCGUCAGGCCCCCUGAAUUUGAGCUGAUGUCCCCACUUCCUGGUGCCUCAGCCUGGAGAUGAGACAAACAGGACCUCGGGGCAGGGGAUCAGCAGCUGUCCUGCCGGGCAGCUGGCAGGGGCAUGGCCCCAGCACACAGACCCCUUUCUUCAUCCUUGGAGGGAGUGGGAGGCUGCUGUAAGUGGAGCCUUGUGAUUUGGU